rnacentral:lncRNA from 1 species
UUGAGGCACGAAUUUCUGGGAUACAUGAACAGUAUGACAAACCAGUUUCACGAGUUACUAUACCGUGUUAACUCCUUUGCUCCUCCGGCCAGAGAUCGUGCAGAUGGAUAGAAUUUAUUUUUCUUAGUUAUUUAGUCUUAAGUUAGAUUAUUUAUUUAAUGUUAUUUCAAAUUAUGUUCGUAUUUGUUUCUCUUUCGCAUUUUUGUUUUUCUCCAUUGUUACAUUAUGAUUAUUUUAUUGAAGCUAUUUAUUCAUUUUAUUAUGUAAUAUCUAUUAUGCUCUCUACUGUUGCUGCCUACAUGACUUAUUAAAGAACAAUAUAUUUAUGCAUCAUUAUGCAAAGUAGAAUGACAUGCAGGAAAAUUAAAUAGCAAAAUAAAAUAAUCUGAAGCAAAAC